rnacentral:rRNA from 1 species
UACGGGGGGGGCAAGCGUUGUUCGGAAUUACUGGGCGUAAAGGGCUCGUAGGCGGCCAACUAAGUCAUACGUGAAAUCCCUCGGCUUAACCGGGGAACUGCGUCUGAUACUGGAUGGCUUGAGAUUGGGAGAGGGAUGCGGAAUUCCAGGUGUAGCGGUGAAAUGCGUAGAUAUCUGGAGGAACACCGGUGGCGAAGGCGGCAUCCUGGACCAGCACUGACACUGAGGAGCGAAAGCCAGGGGAGCAAACGGG